ACAGCUCUUGUUCUAUUCUCUGCUCUCUCGCGCGGCUCACUCCACUGUUGGCAAAGAUGGAGUUCGCGAACCUUGAAGGUCAUCGUCAGGACGGUCGCCGCCCCAUGGAAGUACAAUCCACUCAUAUACCAUUCUCUUUUGCUUCUUAGUUGUCUUUUCAUAUUUAAUUUCGCUCACUAAUCUUCUCAGAUGAGGCAACUCAAAGCACAAGUUGAUGUCGUAGCCAAAGCAGACGGGUAUGCUUAAUUAUCUCUAACCACCUCAUCAAAUUUCAGCUUCUUGGCAUAAAGUUUUAAAAAACUAUUGUUUCUUUUGUAGUUCUGCUGUUUUUGAGAUGGUUGAAUACUAAAUUAAUCGCUGCUGUGAGGCAGCUAAUCACCAAACAGAGAGUUUUUACCCUGAUUUCCUUUUUAAAGAGCACGGGGCAACUUUACUGUGGGUGCUUUGAAAGAUUUCAAGUAUUGCCUGCCAGUAUAACCUUUUCUUCUUGAAUCUGCAAGGGUGUGCAAAUAAACAUUUGCAAUCGCAAAAGGUAAGCCUCUCCAUGCUAGUGGUAUUUAGCUUUUGAAUUGCCAGAAAUAUUAAUCCAUUUAAUAUCCUAAAAACUACUAAUAGACUCAUGAUCUAAUGGCAAUGACAUCAUUCCUCCAUGCUCUUGAAAGAAACUUGUGAUCCUAGUUUCAGAUAUUGGAGAUUGAGAGGGGUCAAUGGAUGAGAUUUGUAAUGAAAAGAAAUGAUUUAAUUCUGAAUUAAGAGUAAAAUAGUCAGGAUUUUUAUUUUCGAGCAAGUCUUGUUGAUUAUGCCAAUUUUAAAUUGCUUGAUUAUGCCACUUUCCAAACAGUAAUAUUUUUAUUUUUGUAAUAGUUUGAAUAGCAAUAAGACUUUUAUGUAGCAUUAACAGUAUAAACAGUAUUAUCCUAUAAAUAAAUUAUCAACUUUUAUUUUGAUAAAUUUCUUGAAGGUGAAAUAUAGGUUCCCAAAGGCCAACUCAUCUAUAAUACCUUAAAAGAUUCUGAGAAGGCUGAUAGGAGACAAAGAAAGAACAUAGUCAUGGCAGAAUCAAGCCAACUUUUUAAGAAAAAAGUGAUAAAAUAGAUCAUUCACUUGAAAGGUUUUGGGGAGGACCACUACAAACAAAAACUAAUAACAUGAACUUCACUAGGGACAUGCCUUCCUCCCUGUUAUUCUAUGUUAGCCAAAACGUACAAUUUAUUGCUUCAAAUGCCCUGGGAGUAUUGAAGGCUCCUGCAAUCAUGCUUCAAAAUACAUCGUAAACUACUAUAAACCAAAUGCCCCAAAUGCCUCCACCCUUAUUUCGACCUGAAUAUCAUGUUUUCCAAAAUACCCAAGGUCCAAGCCACAAAGGAAAACAUUGUGAAUAAUCAACCUUGUGAAUGCUUGUAUAAUAGCACAUCUACCACUCAAACUCAUCCAGCCACAUUUCUCUUACUGUUAUAAAAAGAAUGCUAAAUAUGAAUAUAUACUAUACAAGAGCCAUGAGACAUUCCAUUGAUCAUUAUUGAGGUUUUAGAAAGCAGGUUAAUAAAAUGAUUCACCAUGGAUGGUUAUCAUUUUAAGAGAGAGACAGAGUAUCCAACAUAACCACAAAUAAGCAUCAGGUCGUUAAAGAUGAGGGCGUAUAUGAUCUAUUUUCAACUAAUGAAGAAUGUUGCGAGCCAAAUGUUGGCAUUCCAAAAACGUUUAGAGUCCUCUAAUUUGUUAAGUAUGCAGGAUCUCAAUGUCUAGAGACCCAUCUCAAAGUAUACAACAAUAAAAUGACUGAAGUUAUCCAUGAAGAGUAACUUUUUAUCCAUCAUUUUCAUGAAAAGCCUAGUUGAACUUGUUUUAAGUUGGUUUAUGGGUUUGAAUGGCACUAAAAUGGAGAAGUGAGAAUAUUUGGCCGACGCAUGUUUUAAAAAAAUUGGACUUAACUUGAUGGUGAUUCCAACGAGGUAUGACCUUUAAAGAACGGGGAUGAGAAGUAAUGAGUUAGUCAAGGAAUAUGUUAUGAGACUACAUGACAUGACAACAUAAAUCUACCCUUCUCUGCUUGAAAAUGAGACUUUAGAGCUCAAUAACUCUAGUCAUUUUAGAAGCUCCAUGCUUCGGCUACUUGAUGAACAAUUCAUCAAGCUAUUUUAUGGAUUUAGGGACUGCAGCAAAAAGGAUGGAGCAAGGCUUGAAGUCAGGAAGGAUCAGGAAUCCGAUAGUGAGAUUUAAUGUUAUGUCAACGAACAAAUCAAAAGAGGACUCCCAUAUAGAGAAUAUGGAUCAAAAUCAUUUUAUACCUCAUCUUAAAUACCGUCUAUUUUCAUAACACCAAUAACUUUCUAAGUGUCAUUAGCUAAUAUUGACAUAUCUCUAUCACUUAGCAUUAUUUACCAACACCUUUGAAAUAUUGGGCACAUUGCUCUGAUUCCAUCAAAUCCCAUAUGACCACUAUACCUGAAGUGGUAUGACCCAAAUGUAAAGUGUAAGUAUCAUGAUGAUGAGAACCCAUGACAAUCAAUUGAGAAUUACAAGACGUUGAAGCAUCAAAGCCAAAAGUGGGUAGGAUGGGGCAUGAGGAUGGAAGAUGCACAAGAUGAAUGUACAACCACAUAUAUUUGUUGGUGGGGGUUGAUACGAAAUAGAAGUGUUACAUUGUCAACUCUUUUAUUAUUGAACUUUGCCGAUUCAUAUUUUUGUUGAAAAAAACAUCGAAAUCUUGGAAUUAUUAAAUGUGUUUUCCAUGUA